CUCAGCAAGAUCUAUCCAGAGUGCUCAUUGUGUUUUAAAUGGCUCUUGUCACCAAACCAUCAUUUACUCUGCCACUGCUGUCACUAGUUCAGUACUCAUUAGUAGCCCAUCUGAAAAUAGAGCAUCUGAUUGCCAGUUCCUCUCUAAUUAACUUGUCAACCUGUGGCGACAUGUUAGAGUUGGGUUUACAGAAUUGCAAUCAGCACAUAUAACGCCAGUUCACUGAACAGGGAAGCACCCUGAAAUGCUUUCAUCUUUAGCCACUUCUGAACUGGAAAGUGCAAAUUGAAUGCAUUGUUUGCCGCUGUCUGUUACUCGAAUGAAACUGCGCUCUUCAUCAAGAUCAGAUUCCAGCAUUUUUUUUUCCACCUUCUUUUUUUCUCCUUUCAACUGCCAGCCUCCUCCUUCCCUCGCGUGGGAGGAGAGAACAGCAAGAAAGACGCUCCCUCCUUUCUCCACAUUGCCGGUGGGUGGACAGACUCAACAGUGGGCGUCAAGGCCAAUGGGGGUGCUGGUUUGUCUGCAUACUCAAGGUUCUUGGGGUAAAGUAAGAAAAUACAUGUCAAGUAAUACUAAGGAAGCUUGGACAGAGAUGUUAUGUUUGGUUGCAUGUUUCCAGGCAGACCAUGAAGGCCCUGUGCCUGCCUUUGUCAGAAACUCCGGAUAUGUAAAAUAUUCACUGCACACAAAAAACUCAUCUGAGCCAGUCGAACACAUACAAUCAAAACUGAAUUAAUAUAUUUUUUAAAAACCUGAAUGUUAACCUUCCCUUCAAGACAACAUCUAAGAAUAUGGUAUUUAUAUCACAUAAUGUCCCCACAUUUUUUCAACCAUUUCUUCCACCCCAGCUUAACCUCGGAAGACACGACUGUGCCAAACAGACCAGGAGCACUGCAAAGCACAAGACUGCGGGUGUGUCACACUAUAAAACUACAGCCUUAAAACUUCACCUCCCAGCUCCCACUAUGCUCCCUGAAACAUGUUGCCAUGCUCAGCUUUUUGAACACUCUGCACUCCUGCAGCCCUUAGAGUUGCCUGGCACAUCAAUGGGAGGAGCAAAGGGGUAACCAAAGGAAAACAGGCUGACUUGAUGCCAUAUCACUGUGGGCAUUGCCCAGACUCAGACCAGCCAUGCCUAGAGCGCAGGACCAAGGCUUCAUCCAUAGACAUUGCCUUUAAUGAGCAGAGCCAUUCCAGAGCCCACAACUAGCUUUGCCAGUCCAGUGAACUGAAUCUCAGUUGCUCGCUCCACUGCAUAUUUUAUUUAACAUUAAAUUUCUGCCUCUGUGACUCAAAGCCUGUGGAAGAAAUAUUGCUAUUAAGCUUACCACUAUGAGUUGUUAAUUCAACUGUCGGCUGUCCUAUCCUAUUGAGGGACUACUUUUCUAUCAGGCCUGCAAUUGCACCUUGCCACCCCCAACAAGAAGAUAUGAGUGCAAAUUAUUUUAAGUUGUUGUUUACUGUUGUUUUCAGUUGUGCCAAUAACAAAGAGUUUCACAAAGGGCAAAUAUUACCAGAAAAUGAGUCCCCUCAGAAAAUGAUAAAUAAUGAAUGAAGAUGGUGAGGGAAAUUAUAAGCAUUCUUACAUAUUCAGGGAAAUAAAAUCUUCCCAAAGCAGUUCAAAGAUGCUGGUAAGAUUGAAUGGUUAAAAUCUUUAUUAUCCAUUCACUCUGCAUUGUGACAUUCUUGCA